AGGAGAUAGAGACAAUAACGAUAAAGGUUCUCUCACUGAGAAUAUAUGUGUAUUGAUCUAGAAAGAUAUAUCACAUCAACCAUAUCGGAUUAUAAAUUCAGGGCAGAAGCGUUUGCAAUCGAAAAAGGGAUUGGACCUGAGAAUUGAUUUCCUGCAAAAUCAAAUAUUUUAAGAUUGGGGAGGGUGUGGAAGAUGUUGGGUGGAAAAGAGCCGAGAAAGUUAUUUUGUUCCACCGCAAGGGAAAUAAGUGAUGAGAUGUUAUAAAGACAAGAUGGAAUCUUACCGGAAAAAUUGUUCUCACCCAAAGCUAAAAAUGUCAAGUGUUUGCGGCAACAUAUUUCUUGUGGAAUAUCUCCCUCAAAAUUGUUAAGAGCAGCUGAUAGACGUGUUAAGCAUGAAAGAUUUCCUAUGAAUGAAGGGAUUCCUCCAGUUAAAUUGUUAUGCGCAACAGUCAUGGCUUGAAGUUUUUUCAAAGAGCCGAUUUCAGUUGGUAUUUUACCAAUGAGAUGGUUCCCACUCAAAAACAAUAAUUUGAGAUUAGAACAAUAUGUCAGGUUUGUAGGAAUCUCACCUACAAAAGAAUUAUUGCUGAGAAAAAGUUGCUGCAAAUGUAGCAACUGACCCAACUCCUGUGGAAUUUCUCCAAAGAAGUUGUUGUCUCCAAUGUCGAGAGUUUUCAGAAAAGUGAGAUUGCAAACAUGGGGAGAUAAAGAUCCAUGUAACUGAUAUCUUUUUAGGCUCAACUCUGUAACUCGUUCAUGCAUGGGGCUGCAUGUGAUUCCAUGCCACUUGCAGAAAUGGAUGGAAGAAUUCCAAGAUUCAAGAGCUUUGUAUGGGUCACUAGAAAUUGAUUCUUUGAAUUUGAGCAAUGCCAAAUGAUCAGUUUGGUUUCCUAUUGCAGCCACUGCCCUAAUUUUGUUUGGACCAAACCACAUUAAAUUGAAGGUAAGCAAAAAAAGGAGAUGAAGGUAUAAAAGUGGAGGUGACAACAAAGAAAAAGACUUCAUUUUGGUUUAGCAGAAAGUGGUUUAUGUAUUUAGUUUUGUUUGUGUUCUAUAGUUAUUAUGUGGGAAUAGAGAAGGAACAUGC
rnacentral:lncRNA from 1 species